CUUCAUCAUCAGUCUCUAAUU
ensembl:piRNA 21ur-1478 ncRNA